rnacentral:rRNA from 1 species
GCUCAGAACGAACGCUGGCGGCAGGCUUAACACAUGCAAGUCGAGGGGUAACAGAAGGAAGCUUGCUUCUUUGCUGACGACCGGCGCACGGGUGCGUAACACGUAUGCAACUUACCUCUAACAGGGGGAUAGCCCAGAGAAAUCUGGAUUAAUACCCCAUAGUAUUGUUUGACCGCAUGGUUGAAUGAUUAAAGAUUCAUCGGUAUAGGAUGGUCAUGCGUCUGAUUAGCUAGUUGGGGAGGUAACGGCUCACCAAGGCGACGAUCAGUAGGGGUUCUGAGAGGAAGGUCCCCCACACUGGCACUGAGAUACGGGCCAGACUCCUACGGGAGGCAGCAGUGGGGAAUCUUGGACAAUGGGCGAAAGCCUGAUCCAGCCAUUCC